GGGAGACAACGUCUGCUUCUGGGGCUAUCGUAGGAUGAUAUGAGAGGAGCAGGUCAUGACUAUGCCUGGCACUGAACCUAGGACUCAGAGCAGGUUGUGAAUGUCACUCACUGUCCUUCCUUAUUUCUUGAGCCUGCAGAUGUUAAGGAUGCAGCAAGACUGGAGCAAAGGGCUGGAAGAAGAAUAAGGACUGGAGUAAGAGAGCCAUGAGUGCAAGAAAGGCCCUACCAGCUAUUCUGGGGAACAUAUACAAUAGUCCCUUCUUAUCCACGGUUUCGCUUUCCACAGUUAACUGUGGUCCAAAAAUAUUAAAUAGAACAUUCCAGAAAUAAACAAUUUGUAAGUUUUAGUUUGCAUGACGUUCUGAG
rnacentral:lncRNA from 1 species